rnacentral:tRNA from 1 species
AGUUUUAUAGUCAAAAUUAUGACAUUAAAUUGCAAAUUUAAAGUUGAAAAAAUUAUUUUCUAAAGCUU